GCACUUGUUAGUUGUAGCAUGACAUUUCUUAUUGUUAUAUUUACAUAAUCAUUAACUGUCUUCUGACAGCAAUGAAUGCAUCAAUUCAAAACAAUAUGAAGAGUGCAGCCAAAUGCAGUAAUCAUUGCAAAUUGCAGAAUUCCGUGAGUCAUUUUCUUG
rnacentral:rRNA from 1 species